GGUCAGUAGUCUUGGUAGAUGUGGAGGGUUAGCAUCUUUAGCUAGUGUUCCCUAUUUUGAGUUCUACACUAACAAUCCUUUAUCUGAUUUUGUUUUGCGCCACCGUUUUGGUUUGCUUUCUGUCUAAGUUUGGUGUGGGUUUUUCUUUGCCUCUUCUUGGGUAAAUUUAGUGGGAGCUCAUGGUAGGGGUCUUUUAGUGGGAGCUCAUGGUAGGUGUCUUUUAGUGGGAGCUCAUGGUAGGUGUCUUUUAGUGGGAGCUCAUGGUAGGUGUCUUUUAGUGGGAGCUCAUGGUAGGUGUCUUUUAGUGGGAGCUCAUGAUAGGUGUCUUUUAGUGGGAGCCUUUUGGGUUUCAGUUGUUGCUAGUCAACAUUCAGUGGCCACUCCCAUAAGUGUCUUCAUAACCCCUGUUAAAACCCUACCUGUAGGCAUUGUUGAUCAGUGUUAGUUCCCCCUUCUGUUUGUGUGAUAUUUUUGGUUUUCUUGCUGGCAAUCAUAUUACACAUGAAGUGAUCCACAGCUUCAACCCUACACACCAAGGAGAUAGAUGUAGGAUCCAAAUUCACCAAGUGUCUGCCAUGAUGUUCAUAAACUCCACUACAGUAGUGAGUCAUUUAGCAGACUCUCUUAUCCAGAGAUACUUACAGUAGUGAGUCAUUUAACAGACUCUCUUAUUCAGAGAUACUUACAGUAGUGAGUCAUUUAGCAGACUCUCAUAUCCAGAGAUACUUACAGUAGUGAGUCAUUUAGCAGACUCUCUUAUCC
rnacentral:lncRNA from 1 species